rnacentral:ncRNA from 2 species
CAAAUCGUUCGUCUGACUUGGGUA